rnacentral:rRNA from 1 species
AGUGAACGCUGGCGGUAGGCCUAACACAUGCAAGUCGAACGGCAGCACAGUAAGAGCUUGCUCUUACGGGUGGCGAGUGGCGGACGGGUGGGGAAUACAUCGGAAUCUACUUUUUCGUGGGGGAUAACGUAGGGAAACUUACGCUAAUACCGCAUACGACCUACGGGUGAAAGCAGGGGAUCUUCGGACCUUGCGCGAUUGAAUGAGCCGAUGUCGGAUUAGCUAGUUGGCGGGGUAAAGGCCCACCAAGGCGACGAUCCGUAGCUGGCCUGAGAGGAUGAUCAGCCACACUGGAACUGAGACACGGUCCAGACUCCUACGGGAGGCAGCAGUGGGGAAUAUUGGACAAUGGGCGAAAGCCUGAUCCAGCCAUACCGCGUGGGUGAAGAAGGCCUUCGGGUUGUAAAGCCCUUUUGUUGGGAAAGAAAAGCAGCAGGUUAAUACCCCGCUGUUCUGACGGUACCCAAAGAAUAAGCACCGGCUAACUUCGUG